UACAGAGGUGGCAAGCGUUGUUCGGAAUUACUGGGCGUAAAGGGCGCGUAGGCGGCCAAGCAAGUCCCGCGUGAAAUCCCCCGGCUCAACCGGGGAACUGCACGGGAUACUGCCUGGCUCGAGUUCGGGAGAGGGAAGCGGAAUUCCGGGUGUAGCGGUGAAAUGCGCAGAUAUCCGGAGGAACACCAGCGGCGAAGGCGGCUUCCUGGACCGACACUGACGCUGAGGCGCGAAAGCUAGGGGAGCAAACGGG
rnacentral:rRNA from 1 species